UAUAAUAUCCAUAUCACCCUGUAGCCCAAGACUGGUUGCCCACUGAAGCUAAGCAGGGUUGAGCCUGGUCAGUACCUGGAUGGGAGACCUCCUGGGAAAACUAGGUUGCUGCAGGAA
rnacentral:rRNA from 1 species